AGAGUUUGAUCAUGGCUCAGGACGAACGCUGGCGGCGUGCCUAAUGCAUGCAAGUCGAGCGCACAUUCCUUCGGGGGUGUGAGCGGCAGACAGGUGAGGAACACGUGGACGACCUGCCCCGGCCUGGGGGAUACCGCUCAGAAAUGGGCGCCAAUCCCGCGUACGCUCUUCCGGGUAGGGCUGGGAGAGGAAAGGCCCUUCGGGGUCGGGCUGGGAGGGGUCCGCGGCCCAUCAGCUAGACGGUGGGGUAACGGCCUACCGUGGCGAUGACGGGUCGCUGGUCUGAGAGGAUGGCCAGCCACACGGGGACUGGGAGACGGCCCCGACUCCUACGGGAGGCAGCAGCAAGGGAUUUUCCGCAAUGGGCGCAAGCCUGACGGAGCGACGCCGCGUGGGGGAUGACGUCUUUCGGGAUGUAAACCCCCUUUCGAGGGGAGGAGGAAGGUCAGUACCCUCGGAAGAAGCCCCGGCUAACUACGUGCCAGCAGCCGCGGUAAUUC
rnacentral:rRNA from 1 species